UCUUCGUCGAGCCGUUGGAUGGCCUACGGCUGGCUCCUUGCACACGUCCGCGCCGGUGCCGACGAUGAUUAAGCUCGUUCCAUACAUGGCCUUCGGCUUCCAUAGUAUCUCCUCCGUGACGAUGUCAUUGCUGCUGCCAACCGAACACUAUCGUCGCCUCCACCUCCGCGUUUGGGCCACCGCAAGAGUUCAGGGCUCCUCUAGGGUUCGAGAUCAAAUCCGACCAGCAGAGCAGCAUCCUCAGCACCACGCUCGCCAUCCCCCUCUACCUCGGCACCGGCGUCUUCGCCCUCGGGUACACACCACACCUUUUCUCACCAUCUGAGCAUUGCCAAGGAGCUCCUCUCCAUCCCCAAUGGCACCCUCGCCUCGCCACCGACGACGAAUGGGUGCUUCAGAUUCCUGAUCAGCAGGAGAGUCGUUGAGGCUGAGACGAUGACGCGUAUGCGGCAAGGAGCUUCAGAUUCACUGCCAUUAGAAACUUACCGGUGAGGAAGGAGAGGGUCCAAGUUCCUGACCUCUGCAUGGACUGAGAAGGUCCAAGUUCCUGACCCCCUGCAUUGACUGAUUAUCUUUGAGUUUCAUCAUUAUGUUGAAAUUGGUGUGCGUUCAAAAUACUCAAUUGAUUCUCACGGCUACCGUGCCUCCUAGCGAAAUUUGCUUUUCGUUGGAGUAUCUGGCGUAGUAAUGGAAAAAAAUUACCUUCUACCUUUGAGGGCUCCAGUCCAUUUCGUUCUCUAUAAUUGUCACCUACCCUUCCCGAGCCUACUUUUGUUGCUACUAUAAGUAUAAGAAUGAAAAAAGCUUCAUAUCUAUUUGUUUCUGAUAUGAAUUGUGUAGCUUAGAGUUAUCUCUUAACUUACAAUCUUACAUUGGUGUAAAACAGUGACCACACUAAAAGCACAAAUGCAAGGUUUUACAGUCCAGUUGUGAUGCUGCUACCACUAACAUGUACAAAUAGGAAAGGCAAGAAAAUGACUUAGAGCAAGUAUUUUUAAAGAAAAAAUGAUCCAUUUAAGAAACCUUUUUAAUAAGUUACUCCUGAUACCAACUCCUCAAUCCGCGAGUGUCUUCAGCUUCGCUUUCUCUAUCUGUUGUACGCUGGUGUCUCUUCGUCUUGUGUGUGAGUUGGAUGAGAACUAGACAACUGGUAGGAACCACUCUCUGUUUCAGUUUCUGUUUGUGUUUCACUUCAGUUCAGGUUGUCUGCGCUCUUCUCUUAGGGAUCGAGAAUCAUAGGGAGGUUCCUCGCUUCUAUAAGAAAUAUGUGCCUUUUUGUUUCAUUUUCCUUGUGGAGUUGUAGUUCAGUUCAGUUCGUCUUCGUGCAUGGGGAGUGCUUGGUUCGAUUGUUCACAACCAUAGGUGCUAUAGAUUCGUCUAAGGCCAAGAUAGAAGUUUUUGUUUUCAUGAUGUUUUUGCUUAAGUGAUUAACCAAUUUAGUAACAUGUAUUUAACGUUUUAGCUUGUUUGGUUUAGAUAUGGUGGUCCCUCAGUAAUUUUGUAAUUUUUUGUGUUAUCUUUAUCCGAAAACUAAGUUGGUAUGUAGUGACAGGUAAGCAAUACUGUGGUGGUUUGGACCUCAGUUAUUGGCCGGAUGAAGGGCGGAGGCCAUUAUCAGAUCCUCGUCCACCUUUGGGCUACUGCUGAUAAGAGGACGAGUGUCAUACACCUAUCCAAUUCCCCCCUUCAAUGUGGUCAGUGUUGAAUCAUCUACGUCAUACAGUGAACAAGGGCAUACUGAUGAGAGAAGGGAUGACAUGGAUUUUCUCAUUCGAGCAUCAGGUUUUGUGUGCUGAUUAUGGUGUGGUCGUUGGUGAGACUGCGACGUCCUCUGUAAUCAUCUCUCUGACAAGUUAGAUUAUGUGCUGAAAUUUCUGUUAUCUUUGCUGGAUUAUAUUGUUGUGAAAGGGGCAUAGUACGAUGAAUUGGGGACUGAAAGAGCAUAACAGAGCAGAGGGCCUAUGUAAUAUAAUUUUAUAUGUAUAAAUUGUGCAAAAACAAAUUACCUCUUUUGGGUUUCAAUCAUUUGACAACCCUUGGACCCUGACAUUAUAUUAGUUUGCUUACCUUGACCUUGUGAUGAGUUUUGGAAUAUUUGGAGGAGGUUCACAUGACCUAACAACCUGUUUAGUAGCUUUGCUUCAGCACAGUAAACUAUAUUUAGAACAUUUGGAUGGUAAACUAUUUCAACCGUUGUUGUUAUACAUACAAAGGAUUUCAUUUGAAAUUAUCAUUUAUAUUUAGUGGUGCCACAAUCAUAUUUUCACUAGCGUUUGGCAAUAAUGUCGCGAGUUAGCAGUAAGAAACCAGAGUUGCAAAUUGUUGUUUACUGUCUUCUUAGCAGUAGCACGCUGUAGUGCUAAUUUAAAUGUUUGUGGCUGUAUAAAUGUUCAUCUCUGUCUCAGAUUUCUUAAAAAGAUCUUAGUUUAGUUCUUGGCUAAGAUUUCUCUAUAUAAAAUGAAAAUUUUUACUGAUAACACUAGAAUGGUUGAGCGGUGGGGGAACACUAUGGGUAUCCUUGAUUUUUUUCUUGCAUUGAGUUGUCAUUUGUAUCAGUUUUUAAUUGUUUCUUAUUGAGACUUGUUUGGUAUAACAACAACCUGGUGAUGUCUUGACAAAUUACAAAUUAGCUGUGUGGAGCCUGCUCGGGUAGGGUGAACAAAGUGGCUUUGUUUAUGGCCCUUUCCAUCGUGCUCUUGCAAGGAAACAUGAACUUGAUGGCAGCAAUAAACGGAGAAGGCGCAUGACUGGAGAGCCUUUCUGCUUUAUUUCGACCACAAUCCCAGAAACAAGGUGGGUUCAGUACUUCAAUCCUUUUUUGUUCCUUAGGACAAAACUAUAAUGUUUCUACUUAAGCAUAGGAAGUAUGUGUAUAGCAUGUUUUUCUAGCUGUGGUUUUAUAUAAUUAGGCUUAAGCUAAUAGUGGCAUAUGGGGAUGUAUUUUAUUCUUUAUUGGAACGUGAUGGGUUUUCUGCAGCGCUGAUGUUUUCCUUUGGUUUGAUAGCUACAAAUUUUAAUACCUAAUCCUUGGUGCUCUGCAUGAGUCGCAUUCAAGAUAAGCAAGGUGUAGCUGCUGCCUAGGUUCCUCGUCCAACGCUUGCAGCUGCAUCCCUCUGUCAGCCAGGCGGUGGUGGGUUUAAGGUUUAGGGUUCCUAUACAACUGGGAUGGAGCACGGGCCGAGUGGCUGCCUGCGUUCCCGGAUCUGCUCACCUAUGUGAGCAUGCAAGUGUGGGUUGAGCCUUCGGCGACCAAGGACAUGAUGGACAAGGUGAAGCAGGUAUGACAACGGAGGAAGACCGAGAAGUCCCUGCUCAGCUUGCAACGAAGGUUGGCUACGACAAGCGCAGAAGAAUUGAAGAAUAAUGGCUGUCAGAAGACAUAUGCGAGCGCUGGAAAAAGUGGUGAUACAUCAUCUGCUAAUGCAUCCAUGAUGAAUAUGCAGCAGAUUAUUACGAAAUUAACAACUCAGUGUAGUGAGAAGGCUUUUGAGUUAGAGGCAAUAUUCUUCUUGAACUUGUACUGUGAUUCCAUGAAACUCAAAUAUCUUGAAAUAGUGUUAUUAACAAUUGUUUGUGUUUUUUUGGGACAGUUAAAGUUAGCUGAUAAUCGUGUCCUCCAGGAGCAGCUACUACAGAAGGAAGCUAAAAUUGAAAAGAUGAAAUAUGAGCAUUUGACAAGGGAGGCUGCUUUGACCAAGAAUGAGCUUCUUGAAGAGGAGUACAAGAAAAAGUUAGAUGAGGCAAAUAAGGAACUAUCUCUGGAGAAUGAUCUAGCAGGCAUGUGAGUUCUUGUUGCUAAGUUGAAAAGAGGGGCUUUAGAUAUAUCUGAUUUGAGUGUUGAUGAUGGAACUAAAGUUUAAGGGCGUAGCGAUCGCAACACUGUUGCCUCAUAAUUGGUGUUAAUGAAAAAUAACAUGGUGCUGCACGGAACCUCUACUUUCUCUUGUA